UACGGAGGGAGCAAGCGUUACUCGGAAUUACUGGGCGUAAAGGGCUCGUAGGCGGCCAACUAAGUCGGAUGUGAAAUCCCCAGGCUUAACCUGGGAACUGCAUCCGAUACUGGAUGGCUUGAAUCCGGGAGAGGGAUGCGGAAUUCCAGGUGUAGCGGUGAAAUGCGUAGAUAUCUGGAGGAACACCGGUGGCGAAGGCGGCAUCCUGGACCGGCAUUGACGCCUGAGGAGCGAAAGCCAGGGGAGCAAACGGGG
rnacentral:rRNA from 1 species